GCCGAGGUCGCAUAACCCGGUAGUGCACCAGCCUUGAGAGCUGGCGGGCGCAAGCCCAUCAGGGUUCAAAUCCCUGCCUCGGCG
rnacentral:tRNA from 1 species